rnacentral:tRNA from 1 species
GGAGAGGUGUCCGAGUGGCUUAAGGUGCACGCUUGGAAAGCGUGUGUGCGGCAAAACCGUACCGCGGGUUCGAAUCCCGCCCUCUCCGCCA